CUCUGUCUUUAGACUCUGUGCUCCAUCCACACUGCUCCUCCCUGGAGCCCAGGGAUCCAGAAUUCUAGAGAUCCAAUCUCCUGGCCUUGAGACCACUCUACACUCAGGGGGCAGUGUCACCCCCUAUGACUGACGCUUGGCAAGUCUGGGAAGACCUGGGAAGGCUGGGAAGACCUGAUAGUGAGCACUGUGGGCUCUCCCAACUACCAGACCAGCCAGUCUCUGAGCAGGAGGAGGUUUCUUUCUAGGCACCAGUAACAAAAGUUCAUGUGGUGUAAGAAGUGAGAGGUCCCUCUGGAGGAUCUGGAUGCAGCCAUUUUGUCAGCUGGGCCCCACAGGAGUUUACAAGUACUGGAUUCAAAUCCUGCCUCUGACUCUCUGUAGGACAUAGAAGGGGCAGUUUCUUUACGCCUCAGGUUCCUCAUCAGUCAAACUGAGAAAGUAUUUCCACCUCCCUCAUGGAAUUAUUAUGAGAAUUCAGUGAGAUGAUUCGUGUCCAGAAAAAGAGACCCUGGUAAUCUUUAGCUGUGGAGACUCAGUAAUCCUGAGCUGUACCUGCUGAUGUUACCUGCCUGUGAGCCCUGCUCACCAUUGGCUCCCUGGCUCUGCUCACUCUGUUCCCUCUGUCUGGGAGACCUGACUCCCUCUGACUCAAUUGUUCCUCCAGAAGCCUUUUUAUAAUGCUCUAGUUUGGGUUGGGUGUCCCUCAGUUGGGCUCACACAGACAGCAGUAGGGCUCACUCAAUCAGAUCCAUGCUAGCCCUGGGACUGAACAUGACCCACAGCUCAUGUCCAGUGCCUGAGGACAUCGACUUUCCUGAGUGUGGAGCCAUACACUUUGGAGCUUUCUGAAUUGCAUUACCUCCACCUUGGGUCAAAUGAUGGAGUGUCCAGUGAUUUGGCUCCCUUCUUCCAAGGCAGACAAGCCCCACCAGAAGGACCCAGAGAGUGGAAGAAAUAUUCUUCCUCCUCUACAGUUUGGUGACUUGGAUGAGACAAAACUUCACUGGCUGGAUCCUACUCGCUCCUGGACUACUGCAGCUGAGAGUUCCUAGACCCCUGACAAGAGCCAGCAGCAGGUAAGAGUUAUCAGGUCAGUCUCCUGGAUCUCUGCCUGCAGCAUCCAAUAGAGUGGUGAGGAUUUUUUCCUCUCUAAAUUUAUGUUAUCAGGAGAAUGUAUUGUUGAAGCUACAUUCUUGGACUCAGCAACUCUAGGAUUUGGUCAAGUACUCAUUUUUUUGUAGAUCCUUUUCCUCGCAGAGACAGUACUUUUCCUUGUCUCCGUCUUUUUUGUUUUUAUCCUAAGACACAGGCAUCUCUAUUAGCCUGUUGUCUAACCAGAUGAGGUUUUUCUUUUCUCUUGUUCUGUGUCUUGAGAGCUUGGCUUUGUGACCUUUU
rnacentral:lncRNA from 1 species